rnacentral:rRNA from 1 species
AGGUAACGUCAACACGAAACGAUAUUAACGCUCCGCUUUUCCUCCCUACUGAAAGUGCUUUACAACCCGCAGGCCCUCUUCACACACGCGGCAUUGCUGGAUCAGGCUUGCGCCCAUUGUCCAAUAUUCCCCA